GGCAAGGGGAAAGCUGGAAACUGCGGGGCUGGCAGGACUCAAUGAAUAAUUUAAUCUGGAUUUCAUUCACAAACAGCAGCUCACUCCUAGGGAAAGGACCGGUGCGCUUCCCUAGAUCGGAACUGGAAGAGGGUACUGUAGGUGGAAAGAAGAAGGUUUAACUUUUGAGGAUUUCCUUCAACUCCUGCUUUGGAUUCUCUUCUACAACAAGCACCUAGGAAAUGAUCAGUGGACAAGUCUACAAGACUACUGUAUGUUGAGUCAGAUGUGAAAACACAGUGGUCUCCAAUCCUGGAAACAUUUUCUUCUAAUAAUUGCCACACUUACAUGACUUCAGAUCUAUACAUGGCGGGCUUCUGCAGAGCUCCAGUCCCAUUUCAACCACUGCUGAAUCCAGGCCUUCCUUACCUCCAGUAUCUUCAUGGAACCUUCCAGCCCCACCACGUUCGGCUUGCUCUGCAUUUGGACUUGUCUAGCUCUGUAACCACGUCACUUAGUCACCCAAACUCUGAAGCUCAGGCUGAACCGAACCAGAACCCUGAUCAUCCGGUUUUUAGUCUGGAGUUUUCCUUGUCAACAGCAUGCUGUUUUCCUACUCAAUACAUGCUUUU